rnacentral:rRNA from 1 species
UACGAAGGGGGCUAGCGUUGUUCGGAAUUACUGGGCGUAAAGCGCACGUAGGCGGAUUGUUAAGUCAGGGGUGAAAUCCUAGAGCUCAACUCCAGAACUGCCUUUGAUACUGGCGAUCUCGAGUCCGGGAGAGGUGAGUGGAACUGCGAGUGUAGAGGUGAAAUUCGUAGAUAUUCGCAAGAACACCAGUGGCGAAGGCGGCUCACUGGCCCGGUACUGACGCUGAGGUGCGAAAGCGUGGGGAGCAAACAGG